rnacentral:rRNA from 1 species
GAUAGGCAAGGUGUGUAAGCGUUGUGAGGCGUUGAGCUAACUUGUACUAAUGACCCGUGAGGCUUAACCAUACAACCCAGAUGGGUUUU